CUUGUAUGUACUUGUUUAGUUUGUGAGGUGCUUCUUAUCUAUUAACUGGUGCUUGUGCUUCUGGUGCUUUAGACAUGCAUCUUUUUGUUUUGUGGUGAUUUUGUUAUUCCGAUGAUUAUUCUUUCUCUGACCCGUUUUUUUGGUUUUUUGCUCUGGUGCUUGAUCGCGAUCCUUUGUGUCCUGGGGAUUGCUUUAUCUCAUAUUUUAUCUUUUUACAUUUUUCUGACAUCUGCUUGUUCUAACCAAGACAUUCUAUGGUAAGAUGAGAUAGAUUAGUCUUCUUUGCUGGUCUUUUUUCAGCUCCAAACUUUUAUUGAGUUAGUAUUAC
rnacentral:lncRNA from 1 species